UUUUGUAUUUUUAGUAGAGACAGGGUUUCUCCAUGUUGGUCAGGCUGGUUUCGAACUCUCGACCUCAGGUGAUCUGCCCACUUCGGCCUCCCAAAGUGCUGGGAUUACAGGCAUGCGCCAUGACACCUGGCUAAUUUUGUAUUUUUAGUAGAGUCGAGGUUUCUUCAUGUUGGUCAGACUGGUUUUGAACUCUCAACCUCAGGUGAUCUGCCUGCCUCGGCCUCCCAAAGUGCUGGGAUUACAGGUGUGAGCUACUAUGCCCAGCCUUGGCCAUUUUUUUUUUUUAAGUAUUCUUACUCCUUUCUCUGUCUAGUCUACUCCUGGGACUGAAAUUAUGCAUAUGUUGGUAUGCUUAAUAGUGUCCCACAGGUCUCUGAGGCCCAGUUCAUAUUUCUUUCUUUUUUUAAAUUUCUCUUCCUCAGACUUCCCUUUGUGUAGAGCCUCAAGGUCAGCCAGAGGUGAGAGUUUAGGGCUUUUUCAGGUCUCUCCUGAGUAUAUAUCCAUAGUCCUCCGUGUGUAUAUGACCUGUAUUCCCAAAAAUGUUUUGGGCUUUUCAAAGCGCCUGUGGACAUCUCAUUCCCUUGCUCUUCCUUUUUAGCUUUUUGUUUAGUCUAUUGUUUGUGGCAACUGUUAUCCAUCACCUCAGGCAGCUGGCACUGGGCAAGCCCUGAGCCAAUGUGGUAGGAGUCUUCUAGGCAGCCAUCAGACACGUUCAAUAACGGAGGUUCUGUGCGAAUGAGGGCAUUUUGCUCCCACAGUAACUAGGAAUGUAGGUUCUUAUUUCCAAGAUUACCACUGAGCUGGAGGGCAGGGUUGAACCAGGGAAAGCUACAACCCACAAAGGCCACUGUUCUUACUGAUAGUCACCUGUUUAAUUGAAUAACACCCCCUGGGAUGACGACAGCCUUUGAUUAAUUUCCAUAGCUUUGUAAAAGUUGAUUCUGAUCAUUUUUGCUAUGUUUUUCUUGCUCUUAUUGGGUGAGGGGUGGGCACAUUUUUUAGGGGUCUUUCUCCAUUUUCACUGACAACUAAUUUUGGAUUUUUAUUUUAUUUUUUAUUUUAUUUUUUCUUGAGAUAGAGUUUCGUUCUUGUUGCCAGGCUGGAGUGCAGUGGCGUGAUCUCUGCUCACUGCAAACUCCGCCUCCUGGGUUCAAGCGCUUCUCCUGCCUCAGCCUCUGGAGUAGCUGGGAUUACAAGC
rnacentral:lncRNA from 1 species